UUGAAUAAGUCAUGAUUUUAACCGUUUGGAUCAAGGGUAUGUCUAUUCCUCAUCAAAAUGGCACUAGAGUGACAAGGGUAGUCAUGUUGUUUUCCAAGAUGCCUCUUAUUUUCUCUCCCACUUCUUUAACACACCAUGACUGCAGCAUGUCCCAUCCUGGGCGCUCUCGUCCUAGUUUUGCCCGUCUCAUUUCCUGUCGCUCUGUCAUUUUCUGCAGUGAGAACCCCCUGCCAAAGGUGGAGAUUGCCAUCCGCAACACAGGUGACGCAUGGUGCCCUCUGCUGGAGACCCUGACAGAUGCAGAGAUGGAGAAGAAGAUCAGGGACCAGGACAGGAACACCAGGCGCAUGAGACGACUUGCCAACACUGCCCCCGCCUGGUAGAGAGAAGCACCAAUAAGCUACUACAGAGCCUCUAGUCCAGUGGUUCCCAACCUCUUUUUGAACCGUGGCACACCUUGAUGGGAUAUACAAUUAUGCCCUGCACACCAAAUUCAUUCAUUUAGUGGUGAUGACAUCCAUCUGAUCUAUAUUGCAUAUCAUCUAUUUUCUGUGACAAAUGUUUACUAAAUAGGGUUUGUUUGAAGUAUUUUCAUAGUUCCUUACUCAUGAAGGUUCAUUUCUGUAUACCCCUUUAAGAGUAUCCCGCAAAUAGGUAUUUAGUUUUGAACAGUCUGUGUUAGAGGUACAACCACGUACACAUAGCCAAGCUCCAUUUGUUUUUAUGGCAAGAGGCUGUGGUAUAGCUAAUAAAUUACUCUCGCUAAGCCUAAUCAAACUUACAAGUGAUAAUGGUUAUCACAGACUAAGUAAAAUAAUAAAAAUGACUUUGCUCGUGAUGCGAGCCCCUCAAAUGAUACAAAUGGAACAGCCUGAGUGCACUGGACUUGGAACAACGAUACAGAUGUAACAAUGUACCAUUUAAUCUAUUAUCUGACUGGCACAGGUGCUCCCAAAUCAAAAUUACAGAGUGUACAAACAUUUUUAUCAAGAUUAGGAAAGGUUUUGUGGCACACCACUGCUUCUAGUCAGCUAACAGUCAACUCCUAUGGGCCCUCUGUGGAGACACACACACAAACAAACGUGACAAAAGACAGUCAACUGGUCCCUUCUUACAGCCCCCGUAAUAUUAAACUAGCUUUAUGCUUGAUUGUCAUACUAAUCCAGUACCAAUGCCACAUCUCUACUCCCAUUAAUAAAAAUAAUUACAUCUGAUCCCAGAUCAGAGACUGUUCAAGGAGCCUUCUCCAUUUCUAGCCCCUCUAUUGGUUCAACCGCUACUCAUUUCUGAUGAGAUGAGGCGACGUGGUAUAUAAAAGGUGCCAUGGGUAGAGUGUAUUUGUCCGUAUGAAAUGUAGCCAUUGUCGAUUGUACGGACUCACCAUCUAAGUGAGCUCUACCUGUAAUACUGCUUUGAUGCACUUAUAUCUCUCAUGAUAGACAAUGCUGACGGACUUGAUCUGUCUGUUAAUAGAAACACUCAGACUCAACUCUUGGGAAUAAUGUAAAGUUCUGUAUUUAUGCUGAUACUUUUAGUAUAUUUUUUAGUUUCCUUUUUUAAUAAAAUAACAUAAACCAGA